rnacentral:tRNA from 1 species
GCGGAAGUGGCUCAUAAGUGGUAGAGCAUCCCUUGCCAAGGCGAGGGUCGCGGGUUCGAAUCCCGUCUUCCGCUCCA